rnacentral:rRNA from 1 species
UCGAGAAUCUUCCCCAAUGGGCGCAAGCCUGAGGGAGCGACACCGCGUGGGGGAUGAAGGUCUUCGGAUUGUAAACCCCUGUCAACCCGGACGAAUACUGACUGUACGGGUGAAGGAAGCCACGGCUAACUCUGUGCCAGCAGCCGCGGUAAUACAGAGGUGGCAAGCGUUGUUCGGAAUUAUUGGGUGUAAAGGGUGUGUAGGUGGAUUUGUAAGCCCUGAGUGAAAUCCUUCGGCUUAACCGGAGAACUGCUCGGGGGACUGCACGUCUAGAGUACAGAGGAAGAGAGUGGAAUUCUCGGUGUAGCGGUGAAAUGCGUAGAUAUCGAGAAGAACACCGGCGGUGAAAACGGCUCUCUAUUCUGCCACUGACACUGAAACACGAAAGCUAGGGGAGCAAAUGGG